CUCAGAGUGAUGUAGUGGUAACAUCAGUCGUUGCCAUCGACUGUCCCCGGGUCCGAUUCCCGGCUCUGAGA
rnacentral:tRNA from 1 species